CCUACGGGGCGCAGCAGUGGGGAAUAUUGCACAAUGGGGGAAACCCUGAUGCAGCAAUGCCGCGUGGGUGAAGAAGCACUCCGGUGCGUAAAGCCCUGUCAGCAGGGAAGAAAAUGACAGUACCUGACCAAGAAGCCCCGGCUAACUACGUGCCAGCAGCCGCGGUAAUACGUAGGGGGCAAGCGUUAUCCGGAUUUACUGGGUGUAAAGGGAGCGUAGACGGUAUGGCAAGUCUGAAGUGAAAGCCCCGGGCUCAACCUGGGAAUUGCUUUGGAAACUGUUAAACUAGAGUGCUGGAGAGGCAG
rnacentral:rRNA from 1 species